rnacentral:lncRNA from 1 species
AUGCCACAGGGAAAGACUUGGCCCAGGGGCUGCUGCCCUCACGCUUUUAACCUGUGCCUGCCCCUCCACCCCCCCCCCCACAGCAGAGCCCCUUCCAGCCCCCAUUCCUUCCAGCACUCCAGGAGGAAGCAGAACCACCCAAACUUCUUGCCUCGCUUCAUACCUCCAGGGCACRCGAUGGAGAAACAAGGUUCAGUAGCAAAAAUGAAGACGGUGAACGGACAGCUGGAAAGCGUGGUGGCCCAAACCAAGCCUUCUGAUUUCAAUCUGCCUAAUCUCAAAGGUUAGCAGGAUGUAAACGAGGUUGGAGACAGGAAGCUUACCUCAAUAUCUGGAUCCAGGGCCACAUUCAGAAUCACUUCACUGAAAUGAAGAGUCUUGGACUGAUCUUCAUACUCCUUUGCUGAUGCUCUAGCAGACCCAUUCUAUGGAAAUAGGCACCCCUUUCUUCAGACAGCAUUAAUGCUAAAACAGCUCCUUGUAACCCUACAGUGAGGUUACUAAUGCAUAUCUUUACACAGGAAUUAUUUCCUACAUCUAUGUUUUGACAAUACACUUACUGGAAUAUUUUUCAUGCAUGAUGUGUACAAAAUGAGUCAAUGCAGCGUUUUUUUUCUUUAAACCACUAUCAUACACGUAUUUUGUUAAAGAAACAAGGGCUAUAAACCCCUCAAAUACACACAGUAUCUGGCAUCCUGAUUGUGGCACAAUGUCAUUUUUCUGCCUUUAUGUUCUUGCUGGUACAGGGCAUAUCAAUGGCUAUUUUAAACCUCUGAGCUAUGCAGGUGGGCUGUCCAUUUUCAGGGCACUGUGACCGCUUCUCUCAUGACCAUGGUCCUUUACAAUUCUACUUUGGUUCCACUUAACAGUCACAAGUUCCUGUUGAAAGACAUUCCUACUUUUGUAGGCCAGAAGGAAUUUUAAAGGGAUCUACACAGUUUCAGUGCUGGACAUGGCUGGCGGGGGGGGGAUGACAAAACCCCAAAGCAAAAACUCAAAUCAAAAUGCCUCAGCAUCCAUACCAAUCCUUUAUGCUUCCUGUCCAGUCUCUCUUUCAAGUGAUGCAGUAUGAGCRGCAUCUUUCUACUGCCCUGCCAAUGACACCAAAGCCACUGUGCAUUCAAGGACUUUUGAAGACUAGACUAGCUGGAACGCAAGCUGGGAAUGUGCUAUUGUGUCUCCAUUUGAGGUUGGAUCCUUUUUUGGUUUGGAUGAAUGAUGCUUUCCCUAAACCCACUACAAAGCU